AUAGAGACUCAGAGCUGCAUAUCAAUAAGCGGAGGAAAAGAAACUAACAAGGAUUCCCUUAGUAACGGCGAGUGAAGCGGGAAGAGCUCAAAUUUGAAAUCUUCAAGGUUUUACCUUGACGAAUUGUAGUUUAAAGAAGUGUUUUCUGUUGAAGUUUUGGUAAAAGUUCUUUGGAAUAGGACAUCAUAGAGGGUGAGAAUCCCGUAUUUGACCGUUACUUUCCAGCUUUGUGAUACACUUUCAAAGAGUCGGAUUGUUUGGGAAUGCAGUCCAAAAUGGGUGGUAAAUUUCAUCUAAAGCUAAAUACUGGCGAGAGACCGAUAGCGAACAAGUACCGUGAGGGAAAGAUGAAAAGAACUUUGAAAAGAGAAUUAAACAGUACGUGAAAUUGUCAAAAGGGAAGCGUUUGACACCAGUGUUGUUUUCUCGAAAGUCAAUUAAAAAUGACAGGAUUUUGUGUUGUAUUGACUUUAUCAGCUUUCUGCACUUUUUUCUUGUCUUUUUUAAUGCACUUUUCGUUUAACAAGUCAACAUCAAUUUCUUUUGCUGUAAAAGGGUCAUUGGAAGGUGGCUUUCUUUUCGGAGAAAGUGUUUAUAGCCUUUGGCCUCUGCAGUCGGAGAGAUUGAGGUCUGCAGCGUAGAUCCUUCGGGGUUAGAUACAUUUGUGCUAAGUUAUAGCCUUUCAUAGACAACUUGUUGACUAUGAUCAGUCAUGUAGCUUACUCGCUUAUGCUAUUUUACCUACGCUUAGGAUGUUGAUAUGCAUGACUGAUAU
rnacentral:rRNA from 1 species